rnacentral:lncRNA from 1 species
GUUUCGUGCGCACCUCCGGGCGGAAUUACCGGCCGGCUGGGACCCCGCUCCCGGUCUGAGCCACCCAGGUUAUAGAAGGGGAAUCUCGGGAAGCUUUCCAAGUCACUGCCCACGUCUUCGAACUUCCUCGGGGUGACGAGGACCUCCCUAUUAGGAGGUCCAGAGAGAAUUUGCCCAAAGUUACCCCGAGUGAGUGACAGAACUGGAAACCCGGAGAUCCUGUCUUUCAAAACCGGAAGGCUCUUCCCAGUAAACCUGACGGCCUCUGACUGAGGCCGUAUCCAUUGGCUACCAAAGGGAAGGCCGAGGAACCUCGUAUUGUAACCUUAACAGCUACUCAGAGGUAUACUGACCACUGGUUUUACUUUUGGAUUGCACCUUAGAAUCCUAACUUACUGUAAGGACCCACCGACUUUAGAACCUAUCUAGGACAAGGAACCGAGGUCCGGAAAAAGGGAAGCAACUUGUCCAAGGACAUAGACGCUAAUCAGUAACAGAGCAGCCGAGAACUCAGGUCUCCUAGCUCUAGUCCAGGGCUCUUUCUCUUGUGAUUUUGGACAACUUGACAGAGAGGCCCCAGCUUAUAAAUCUAUGAAGGUGUCCAGGUCCUGCCAGACUCCGCUGCAUCUUUUGCUUUCACUCCAGCAGGGUAGCAGCAUGCUGCCUGUGCCAAGGCAAUCACUAAAAGGAAAGGAUUUAAUGCUGUCAAAAAAGCUUAUGCCAGCUUAGGCUGCAGGAAGAGGAACAGUGUCAAGUAUGUUGAAAGUGGACAUAUUGGUCAGACCUCCAUGAGAGCCUAGGGGGCAUUGCUUAGCAGCACGCUUUUAAAGGAAUCUGAACAAACCAGCAUGUGGAAAGAAGAGAGUAACCACAGCAAUCAGGAAACAACUGUACAAUCUAGGGCCAUUUCAUUGGAAAAACAGAAGUCUCCAGGGAGCUGCAGUCAUCAAACAGGCUUAUUCUGUGUACCCAGUGGGCAAGUACAGUCAAUGGAUGAAAAUUCAACCAAUGGACAAACACAGGAAGUUUUUCCUUAACAUGAGUUGUCAGAAACUGUCCAAAAUUCCAAAGAGCUGCCUCAAGGUAGUGGAAAUUUUUUUUUUUUUUUAAUCAGGAAGGUGCUGAAUGAAGCCAGCAAGGAUUCUGUGUCAGAGGGUGGUAGAUACCCAGGACAUAAGGUUGAACCACGUGACCUCUGAGACCACAGUUCUAAGCUGUUGAAACCUCAGUCCCUGCUGAAUACUGAAAUGGUAUUAGCACCCUUUAGUCUACAUCAAGAAUUCGUUCUACCCAGUUUUGGUGGUACCAAGACUGAUCUCUUUCUCAUAGAUAAUUCUUAACAGAAUAAAAGCUACAGGUUGAAACCAAUUCCCUUUAAAAUGUGGACAGUUGACCAUCUCCAUGAUAGGUAGUUAGGCACUGAAUUAAUGCUUUUUAAUGGAAGAGCCACCCUAAGAUUCCUGGAGUGUGGUAUAAUGGAGUACUAAAUCAGCAUAGGACUAAUAACUGCCUCCCGUGUAAACUGGUCUAUCCGGAGAGUGGUAUAGCCUCUCAUACAGUGUUCAAAGGCAGAUUUAACUCACUGCAGGUCCACAGCAACCGAUAAGAUAAACUCGUUGGUUAUGGUCUCCCACUUUGCAAAGGAGAGCACAGAGGAAGAGGAAACUGAGAUAACUUGGUUUAGGACCCCACAGCUGGCUGGAGCUGGGCUGAACAUUAGUUCAUUGUUUCUUCGAUUAAUCUAUGCUGCUUUUUCUCUACUUGGCUCCUUUUCUAAAUUAAACAAAACAAAACAAAAAACACUGGGCACAGAGUGGUGUAUAUGUGUGUGAGAGAGAGACAGAGAUAGAGAAAGACUAAGCGAAAGAGAAAAGAGAGAGGCUGAGUGAGAUUCAGAUAAAAUAAGGCACAAGUCAUGGGCUAGUCUGUUGUACAGUGUACUUGUCAUAUAUUUGAAUGCCUUUAACAAUGGAGACAGUUUUGAUGGAAAUAGGGCCUUGAAGAAAUGCAUAUCCGCACCCUGGUGGUAUGUUAUAACUAAACGGGUUGGUUUUUUGUUUCGGAGUUUUUUGGGUUUCUUUUUAAUGCAAAGGUAUAUAUUUAAAAUACCCUGUAGCUUCCUUCUCUCCUUCAUUUCAUUUCCUUAAGUAUGAGAGAGGUUUUCUGGAUGACGGGACAUCCAAACUGGAAGUGCCCUCAGAUCCCAUCAACUCCCAUCCCCAUGUUUGAGAAGCACGUAAAGUAAGCUCCAGAAGAGCUCCCAGACAACGUCGGCACACAAUUAUCAGAGGACUUUUCCCUGAUGGCAGAAAGCUACUGACAUUUCCA